rnacentral:rRNA from 3 species
GGACUACAAGGGUAUCUAAUCCCGUUCGCUCCCCUGGCUUUCGCGCCUCAGCGUCAGAAGAGGUCCAGAUGCUCGCUUUCGCCACCGGCGUUCCUUCCGAUAUCAACGCAUUUCACCGCUCCACCGGAAGUUCCAGCAUCCCCUACCUCGCUCGAGACGAGCAGUAUCCAAGGCACUUCUCCAGUUAAGCUGAAGGAUUUCACCCCGGACUUGCUCGCCCGCCUACGCGCCCUUUAAGCCCAGUGAUUCCGAACAACGUUCGCACGGUUCGUCUUACCGCGGCGGCUGGCAC